rnacentral:rRNA from 1 species
GAUGAACGCUGGCGGCGUGCCUAACACAUGCAAGUCGAACGGAAAGGCCCUGUUCUUGUGGGGCGCUCGAGUGGCGAACGGGGGAGUAACACGCGAGUAACCUGCCCCUGACUUUGGGAUAACUUCAGGAAACUGGGGCUAUUACCGGAUAGGAGCUCCUGCUGCACGGUGGGGGUUGGAAAGUUUCGGCGGUUGGGGCUGGACUCGCGGCUUAUCGGCUUGUUGGUGGGGUAGUGGCUUACCAAGGCUUUGACGGGUAGCCGGCCUGGGAGGGUGACCGGCCACAUUGGGACUGGGAUACGGCCCAGACGCCAACGGGGGGCAGCAGUGGGGAAUAUUGCAGAAUGGGCGGAAGCCUGAUGCAGCAACGCCGCGUGCGGGAUGACGGCCUUCGGGUUGUAAACCGCUGUCGCAUGUGACGUGGAGUGAGUGACGGUAAUGGGUAAAGAAGCACCGGCUAACUACGUG